UACGUAGGGUCCGAGCGUUGUCCGGAAUUAUUGGGCGUAAAGGGCUCGUAGGCGGCCAACUAAGUCAGACGUGAAAUCCCCAGGCUCAACCUGGGAACUGCGUCUGAUACUGGAUGGCUUGAAUCCGGGAGAGGGAUGCAGAAUUCCAGGUGUAGCGGUGAAAUGCGUAGAUAUCUGGAGGAAUACCGGUGGCGAAGGCGGCAUCCUGGACCGGCAUUGACGCUGAGGAGCGAAAGCUAGGGGAGCAAACGGG
rnacentral:rRNA from 1 species